rnacentral:tRNA from 1 species
CGCCGGCGGUGGCAGGAGCGGGCUUCAAGCCGGAGGACGGCGA